GACGAACGCUGGCGGCGUGCUUAACACAUGCAAGUCGAACGGUAAGGCCCUUUCGGGGGUACACGAGUGGCGAACGGGUGAGUAACACGUGGGUGAUCUGCCCUGCACUUCGGGAUAAGCUUGGGAAACUGGGUCUAAUACCGGAUAGGACCACGGACUGCAUGGUCUGUGGUGGAAAGCUUUUGCGGUGUGGGAUGGGCCCGCGGCCUAUCAGCUUGUUGGUGGGGUGAUGGCCUACCAAGGCGACGACGGGUAGCCGGCCUGAGAGGGUGUCCGGCCACACUGGGACUGAGAUACGGCCCAGACUCCUACGGGAGGCAGCAGUGGGGAAUAUUGCACAAUGGGCGCAAGCCUGAUGCAGCGACGCCGCGUGAGGGAUGACGGCCUUCGGGUUGUAAACCUCUUUCAGCAUCGACGAAGCGCAAGUGACGGUAGAUGCAGAAGAAGCACCGGCCAACUACGUGCCAGCCGCC
rnacentral:rRNA from 1 species